rnacentral:lncRNA from 1 species
GGGGACUGCUGCUACUAAACAGAAUACGGAAGGCAGAGUGGUGCAUCCUCAUCAUCACUGCAACACACACAAUGAGGAAUUUUAGUCAAGUUAAAAUACCCCUGUAGUACCCAGCUAGCCAUGUUUGUAGCAAACACUACAUCCUACUAAAUUGGUUCAUCAACACAUUAGCCAGAUUCAUAAACAUUACCUACUGUUUUUACAAUGCACAAAAUUGGUCAAUGAACACAUUGGCCUGCUGAAAAUCAAACAUUUGGACUGUAAUAUAUUACACUCCCAGUGAUACAUCCAGAGACACACACAAUGAGCCUAUCCAUCCGCUGCCAUUUUCCACAAAUAAUGUUACAUCUAAUCUCAACUGAUUAUGUAGUGGCGCCAUAUAAAUCACAGAGUAAGAUUUGAUUAAGAUGUGUGCACACGCACAGACAUCUCGCCAUGAUAGUGGAAGAUGAGUUGUGCUAGCAUUACCUUGCUAGCCAUGCUAACUACUGCUGGAAGAAGGGCGAAUGGCACAACCUGGACGAGCCGUCCUGCUGGUGUGGCACAAUUUAGACUGCGGCACCCCCGUUUCAUAUGACCGGGAGGUAGCAGCGGUGGUGGGCGGUGGAGACGUGGUAGAAGGGGAGGUCGCAGGCCGGAGGUACAGUGCCGGGAGGUCAUCCGAGUCUGUACAUCAGGGCAAAGGCCCAUGGCUGCGGCUGAGAAAGUAAUGUUCAGAGGCGUGUUGUAACUUACUGUAUGCAACUAUGCAUUAUGAGAUAACAAAUGUUCUAGUCUGAUACUUCACAACUUUGAAAUCAAAGCAGAAUUUUUGCUUCAACUUACCUUACUGGAAACCACUAGAUCCUAGAUCCCCACAUCUUCUUUUUUUAUCAUCUUUGAACUUCAGAUUAGUACGUUUUUUAUUUGGUCUGACAAGCUAUACAAGCUUAAGAUAGUAUCUUAGAGAGCAGAAGAACAAGACAGGUGAGGCACAGAGAUGAUCUUCCACACACAUAGCACCGGAAGGGAGUACAACAUGUUUUUCAUCAUUUAAGCCAUUCAUGAAAACGAUGGAGAACACUUAUUUUGAUAACCAAGAAACAUGGUAAAACAUUGUCUAUUCUCUGUAAAUAUGGUAAGCAUGCUGAGAUAAAAAAUGUCCUAUUUUUUCAGGAAAAAAAUGAACUCUAAUCUCAAUUCCUCACAUUCUACACGGUUAAUUCUUUUUAAAUGAUAUGAAAUGAACUAACGAAUCAAAACUCUGAAGGGACUCUCUUUAAUGCAGAUGCAGACCCAAUUGUUAAGGAUUCUUUUUUUAACAUCUACUAAGAUGAACAACAGAGAAGUAUAUACCAGCAGAGAAGCAGCCAUAGCCUGACGAGCUCACAACGUUCCCCUAGACAGAGUACAGGCGAGUACCUCAUAGAGCUGGCCGCAUACAGCGGAAGGAAGUGAAUGGAGUCAAUGAUGACGGGGGUCAUCCACGAGGAGCACGGUGUGGGGGUUGAACGGCCUGAGUGGCAUAGUUGAAUGGCCUAGGUGCUACGGCGCCGGCUGUAGGUGGUGGGCCGCGGUGGUAGUGGGUCGCAGUGGUGUGCGCGGCGAGCUGCAGGUCGAUGCUCCCACCAGCUGCAGGCUGAUGCCUCCUUCAGCUGCAGGUAGCGCCCAAUCCCCAUUGAAGGUGCUGCUACCAGGCCCUCCUGUGCGGACUUUCGUUGGUGUGGGCAUCCAUGGCGCGUGCUGGUGGUUCAGGGUGCGUCGGCCCCGGAGGCCUCCGAUGACCGGCCGCGGCGGCGGCCGAUGCCAUCUCAGGCUCAGUAGACCGCGAGCUCGUGUGGCUUCGGUGGCACGGUGCUCGGCGAGGGCGGCGGCGCCGCUGCGAGUGGGGCGAAGCGCGGAGGCGGGACUAGACGGGAUCCAGAGCGAGGGGGAUCCAGGUGGGAGGCGGAGCGGCGCUUCAAGGGGAGGUGGUGAGGAGCCGGGACGGCGGCGCGUCGGUUGGGAUGGUGCCGCGGCGGUGGUCGGAAGGUGGGUCGGCCGCGCGGCGGUUGUUGCAGGGGACGAGAGCUAGAUGGCGCUGGAUCGGGGGAGGUUGGGGAUCGGGGAGGGGGCGGUGGACUAGUGGGAGUGUUCUUUCUUUUUCCUCCUCGGGUUCCGGAGGACCUCCG